UACGUAGGGUGCGAGCGUUAAUCGGAAUUACUGGGCGUAAAGCGUGCGUAGGCGGUUCUCCAAGUCCGUUGUGAAAGCCCCGGGCUCAACCUGGGAGGUGCGCUUGAUACUCGAGGGCUUGAGUGCGGGAGAGGAGAGUGGAAUUCCCAGUGUAGAGGUGAAAUUCGUAGAUAUUGGGAAGAACACCGGUGGCGAAGGCGGCUCUCUGGACCGUAACUGACGCUGAGGCGCGAAAGCGUGGGGAGCAAACAGG
rnacentral:rRNA from 1 species